GUAAGGACUUGGGGACCUGACAAACUUUUAGCAUUAUGACUCAACUGAAAAUUGCAACAACUUUCUCAGUGCUUAUUUGCAUAGUGUUUUGCUACUCUUAACUAAAUGACUGCAUGCAAAGUGCAACAUGGAUGAUGAUGUCAAACACAAGGUGAGUCAUAAAACCAAAUGAAUCAGGCAGGCAAAUGAGAUUAACCGAGUAUAGUGUCUUUCAAGACUCUUUGAGGAAGUACUACGGACCGCUCAUGUCAUGUUUCUAUGCGUUUGAAAUCCAAAACGCAGGCGGUGGCAGAAGAGUCACUGGAUGUGUGUAAUGAUUAGCGAGGACUAUAACUGGAAGGCUCAAACUACCUGGGACAGAUGCCAAAUGCUGACAAAGGCAAUCAUUGCAUUCUCGGGGCAAGCAAAAUCAACUCUUUUGUCCUCUUGCGCUUCUUUUGGGAGGGUUAUUUAUAACUCCUCGAGAAACCACCGAAUGCAUUGACUAAAUGCUUAAGGGGUCGGUCACAUGCUUUGGCUAAAUGGAAUAAAAAAUCAUUUUCUGUCUUUCACUUUGCAUCCUGUGCCAAAGUGGGCAGGGAGAAAGAGCUCGUGGUGAGGUGGGUGAAACGGAGGCCGCUGUACGUGCUCUUUCUUCAGCCACAACCCCGUGGAAGAGCAUGUUUGGUGGUAGCACGUUUCUAGGUCUCUCUCCCCGAGAUAGGCGUAGUAUGUGCAUAAGUCUACUCUUCUCGCCGCCAUGACCCUGCCUUGUGUUCUUUGAUGUUGAAGCCUCUAGUCUGCAGGAAUCCAGCGGUCUGCUGUCUGGCUGGUUGACAUCUGUUCUGCUGUCCUUGGGGCUGAGGUAGUAGAUUGAAUAGUUGUGGAGCCCUGCGCUCUCUCACUGAGAUAACUAUACAAUCUACUGUCUUUCCUAAGGCGACAGCCAAAUCAUCCACAAACAACAUGGACUCAUUUGAAAAAGUGUCUGCAGUCCUCCAGUGAGUUGGAAAGGAUAUUCACUCACAUUACAAAAGCAAAAUGGGCUGGUAUCGAUGAGUCAUGCUGACUUCAUGCAUACGCAAACGUGUCAGGCGAUGGGACUGUCCUUUGGUGUCCUGACAGGGUGAGGUAGUAGGUUGUAUAGUUUGGUGGGAGGGAUCAAACCCUGUUCAGGUGAUAACUAUACAGUCUAUUGCCUUCCUUGUUGUACCAGCUAUCUGUCUGCUAGUGGAAAUUCCCUGGAGUUUAAAUAUUGCUUAAACCCUUUGGCCUGCUUCACACCACAUGAACUUUGUAUAUGUAAGCGUAGUGUUUAUUUCGGCACCCAUAUAUACAAGUUACAUCAUUCACACUGCCUGCAUAAACAGAGCAGUGUAGCAUGAGUGAUACACUGAAGUUAGUCUGCAAAAAAAUACUUUACGAAGCAGCAAAGUAAUGGAGCAAACUCCCGAAAAAGCAUGCUUUAUUCAGUAAAUCUGAAACACGUUCUAUUCAGUAAAUCUGACUGAAUCAAGAAGAGUUAAGCAGUUUGAAAAGUUUGGGGUCAGUAAAAAAAUAAAUAAAUAAAAAGUUUGCAUUUAAAUAAUCAGAAACGAGAGUUAAGACUUUUAUAAUGUUACAAAAGAUUUCUAUCAUGAAUUAGAACUUUCUAUGUAUCUGAGAAUCCUGAAUCACAGGGCCUUAUCAUAUACCCGGCACAAUGUGGCACCAGGUGCGACGCAAGUGUAUUUUGCUAGUUUCAGCCAGACGUACUGUGUCAUUUUCACGUACUGUGUCACGUUGUUUAAAUAGCAAAUUUUAAGGCAACUGAAAUAGACUGCGCCAAUGACCAACAAAAACCUGGUCUAAAGUCUGGCGCAAUUUAUAUAUAUAUAUAUAUAUAUAUAUAUAUAUAUAUAUAUAUAUAUAUAUAUAUAUAUAUAUAUAUCACACAGAAUUACGCGCACGACCAGAUCCGUUCCCUCAUUAGAGAGGCAUUCAGCUUUUCUUUUGCAGAAUCCGCCAUGACGCGAGCGCAACUUGCUUUUAAAGGGAAUGUGAGAAGACUCUGAUUGGUUUAUGGCUCGUUAUGCCCAAAACACACCCAUUACUCUUUAAGAGAAUAGGAACCACCCUUUUAGACAAUGCGUCUGUCGCGCUGACCAUUUUUCCUGUCCUUAAACUAGAAAAAAUGGAUUCAGACACACCCUAAACUUAAUUGCACUGUGCGCUUUAGACCAAGUGUUUAGAUCAUUAAAAUAGGGUCCAUAUUAUACACCAAAAAAAAGACAAAAAAAAUAAAAGAAAAAUAAAAGUUUUGAACAAUUUUCACUCAGAAAUAGCUAGAAAAAUUUACAGUUAAUUACAAAGAAAAGACAAGUGACAUCCAAUUAAAGUGCAAUGUUGAAGAGGAAAGACUGAAAUAGAAUUUUCUUGUAAAAUGUACUCCAAUAAUCUUUGUUUUAUUUACAACUUUUUUUUCUCAGUGAUUGAUAAUAAUCAGAAAUGUUUCUUGAGCAACAGAUCAGCAUCUUAGAAUGAUUUCUGAAGGAUCAUGUGACACUGAAGACUGGAGUAAAGAUGCUGAAAAUCCAGCUUUGAAUCACAGAAAUAAAUUGCAUUUUACACUAUAUUUAUAUAUUUUGUUUUCAACUUUUUUUUAUUUAUUUUAUUUUAUUUUUUUUAUGCAAUAAAUGUGUCAUUGGUUAGCAUAAGAGACUUGAAUGAAUUUUUUCUAAAAUCUCACUGACUUUUGAAUGUUAGUGUAGAUUUAAUGAUGAUCAAGCCUGAAAUAGUUCUCACUCCACUAAACAUUUGAUAGGUUAUGGUCAUUCAUUAAAGGAAAUGCUUAGUGCAUUAAGAUAGAAAUCACCUCGUUGUACAGCACAACAAGACUGUUGCGGCUUUGUGUGUGUGUGUGUGUGUGUGUGUGUGUGUGUGUGUGUGUGUGUGUGUGCGUGUGUGUGUGUGUGUGUGUGUGAGCAUUGUGAAACCCGGCUUACACUUUACCUAACAAGCCUGAACAACAUCCAUUCCUCUGCUGCAAGCUUAACAUGCUGAUCUGGUACAUGAAGAGAAAAAUCAGAUUAAAAGAGAUUUACUAAGCUCAGAUUUAUGGCUUAAUCAAUAAUUUAGCAUUUCUGUUGGCUUGUGAUCAAACAGGAUUUUCACACAUCAUAACAGGAAAUUCAUUUUCAGUCAGACAAUGCAUGUGGCCUUGUUCAGAGAAUGAAACACACACACACACACACACACACACACACACACACACACACACACACACACACACACACACACAUAUAUAUAUACAUACAUAUAAAACAGCACAAUAAAUCAUAAUGUGUUUUUGUUCUAUGAAUAAAAUACAGUUUUAUUUAAUACUCUUUUGCCUUUUUGAUUUUAUUUUAAUUUAAGUUAAUUUUGAGCAGUUUAUACAUUUAUAAACAGUUAUCUUGUGGAAAGAAGGUCUUGCUUGGAAAAAGUUAGAGAUUAAAACAGUUUGUGCUGCUGUAUGUAUUCCUUUGUUGUGCAAUCUUUAUAAAAUCACAUAAAACAAACAAAUUUAAUAAACACAUAAUUUUGUAGGCAUGUAGUUUAAGGAGCUGUUGCAUAAAGGAUCAGAGCUUUAGAAAAUAUGAUUUUAUUAGUGAAAAUUAUAUUUGCCAAUAAAAUAACUUGUGAGAGAAUUCUUUGAUAUUUACAGUAAACUUUGAAAGUGUAGAUCUCAAAACAGACUAGACUGUAGUAUGACAGUAUCUAGUUUGGAAACAAGCUGACAUACCACCAAUUAUGACCGAAAUUUUAUAUAAUACAUCUUAAUAUAUAACAUUUUAUUUUUAUAGAACACAGUAUAUACAUAAUAAAUUGUAUACAACAAGGGUAUGUCAAUACUGUGAAGCUAAUUCAAGCAAAACUCUUCCAUCAACACUCUAAUACAGUUAGUCAUAUACUAUAUUUGAUAGCUUGUUACCAUAAACAUCCAUCAAGUUUUAUUUUUAUUUUUUCCACAAAGUUGGUUGGCAACAAAUGUAACUGUGUAUAAAUAUGAACAUGUAAACAAAACCUGUCAAGUUAGACUUUGAUCUACAGCCUUUAUCUGAACACAUGAACCAUGUCAACAAAAUUACAGUAGCAUCCAGUGACACUAACCACACAAUCAAGUAUGAAGUUUAGAGAGAAACUUGUUUAAAUGAAGAAAAAAAAAUGAAACUCUCUGCAGUCAAAUAUUUGGGAAUAUUUUAAUGGUCACUAUGAGGUAACAGUUGUAAUUGCGGUAUUAGCUCUUUUUUUGCCCUUUCCAUUAUAAGGUAGUCAGCCUCAUUCGAGUUUUCAAAUCAACAAUUGAGAGUCUUCUCGUUGAAUUUACAAUAAAAUAAAAAAUAAAUUAAAUAAAAUCAACAACAACAAAAAACUAAUAAAAAUCAAAUGUGAUUCUUCACAGUGACUUCUGGGAAUCUCCUGUUACUAUUUUACACCAUUUAAUUAUUUUACCAUGGAAAGGGCAUUUAUUGUAUUGCAAAAUAUUAUAAAAUAUAGAUUUUCUCAGUAGAUGUUAAGGCCAUGCUUUUACAGUAUCCAUACAUACAGUAUUCUGCCAAAAAAAAAAAAAGGGCAGUUAGCUAGGUCAAUUAUGAUUGUUCAGCAUCUUUGUAUUGCAUUAUAUUAUAUGUUUUGCAUUAAAUAAAUACUACAGAGCUAUGAACCAUAAAAGCCUGAUGUAUCGGACUAGUUUUCUGACUAUUAGUUCUCAUGUCGCUUUACAGAGUUUAUAUGUUUCACUAGCAUGCCUGCUCUCUGUUUCUUUUAGGACGAAUAGCCGUUUUUAAGCAUUUGGCUCCAUCUAGUGGCCAUACAGCUUCACAGUCCCUGAAGACUGAAGCUUUUCAGAAGCUUUUCAUGUGGAUAUUGUAGAAUAUGUACAGUAUCAGUCUCCAACAUACAGUCACUAAAAGAUCCAUUCAGAAUCGUAUUACAGUGAAAUUAUGGUUUUAGUUUAUCUGCCUGAUUCAUGUGCCGGUGUUAGAGGGUGAUGUAGUUUGAUGGCCGGUAUUAGGUUCUCCAGGCUGGGAUCUCCAUGAGGAGCUUGAGAAGUCUCUUUGUCCUCUCAAGCACUGUACAACUCCAGAUCUCCAGGUAAGCCUCCCUGAUCUUUGUGAUACGGAGUGCGUAGACUACAGGGUUCACCGGUGUGUUGGCAUGAGAGAGGAGUAUUCCUGCGUGGAAAAUGAUCUGGGGGACGCCUUGAGGACCCUCUGAAAGUAGUACACAAUUCAUGAGAUGCAGAGGCAUCCAACAUGCUGCAAACAGUAGGAGAACCAGAGCCAGAAAACAUGCCAGCCUCUUCUCCUUGAUUAGAAAAGCCCUUCAUUUAGAUUCGGCAGGUGCAGAAGUCUAGUCAUGCCUCCGGAGGCGUUUGCGCAGACUGUAGAAAACAAGAGCGUAAAGAAGAUUCAUGGCUGCCAAGGGGAGUAGGAUGUAGCACAAGUAGUUGAAGUAGACCAUAUAAGGCAGGGAGAUGACAGCUAAGAAGGCGCAGUUGAUAUAGGAAGAGUUAAGGAGUAGGGAGGACUGGGGAUCAUCAUUAUGCCAACCAAAAAUAGGGGUGAAACCCAGCAGACAAGAUACCAUGCAACACAGGACCACCACAGUCUCUUUAUACCUGCAAUCACAGAGCAUGUUAACUGUUGGUUAAUUGGACGGCUGGACCUACCUUUGUCAAAAAGAAGUAACAAAGUUUUAACUGUGUUGCCGUCUUCCAGGCCAGCAGCAUGAGACUCAGUCCAGCUGCUCUGCUCGUGCACAUCCCAUCAUCGGUUCUCUUUUAGCAGUUCAGUUAAUGUACUGUUAGCAGUAACUGAAUAACUCGGGAUAUUGGUUUAUGUCAUGUCAAAGGGAGUGAAAGGCACAGAUCUUAUUUAUGCACCAAGAGCUCAUAGCACUCCAAAGAGAAAAUAAAAAUUUAAAUCGCAUCAUAUGACCCCUUUAAUACCAGGCCGGAUACCUGAUUCUGUGUUUUAUUUUGUCAAUUAUUAUGUGUUUCUCAUUGAGCUCUGGAUGUAGGAAAAGCAUCUGUUGCAUGUCAGUUGGGAAUAUAGUCAACAAGUGGCAUAUUAUUUAGAUAAAUGUAGUAAGUGUGAGAACACUAUUUAUGGAGCAUACAAGACGAAUAAAAACAGGACAUGAGCUCCAAAAGAUCACUGUAUGUCAUGAAAACUAGAAACAGAGAAAUUAAAAUGUUUGUAUUAAAAAGAAUCAAUGAUUAAAACGUUUCAAUGAGACAUCUGCAGU
ensembl:lncRNA